ACGAAUGCAACCCAUCAUUCGUGGAUUUCGUCCAGGAGGCGGGCAUGGUGCAUCCACGAAGCGGCAGCAAACGAGGUUUUGGCGGCCCUUCUGAGCGGACCGGCUUCCACUGCAUAGCUGCCACUCAGCGGCAACGUGCGUGGACCAGACCUACGAGCCUAUGCAUCACGGGAAUCAUCGGUGGCCCCGCGACUGCGCAUCAACGACAAUCGACGUGGAUGUUUUCCAUUAACUGACUGCAGAAACUCUGGCACGUGCCAGGUGCCCGGUGAUUAAGGUGCCCUACGUUCCACAAGUAAGAGCGUAUUGCUCUUUCUCAAAAACUGUGACGUCACAUCACGUGGCUUGCCGAGCUCCUUUAAAAGACCGAGCAACAUCGCCUUUCGUCAGUGGGCAGGCCAGCAGCAGUAUUGGCAACAUGUUCAGUAAUCACUUCUGCUUGCUCUACAGAUUUUGGUGGCCCUUCUGAGCGGACCGCUUUCACUGCAUGGCUGCCACUCAGCGGCAACGUGCGUGGACCAGACCUACGAGCCUAUGCAUCACGAGAAUCAUUGGUGGCUCUGCGACUGCGCAUCAACGACAAUCAACGUGGAUGCGUUCAAUGAACUGACUGCAGAAACUCUGGCACGUGCAAGGCGCCCGGUGUUUCCACAAGUAAGAGCGUAUUGCUUUUUCUCGACAACUGUGACGUCACAUCACGUGGCUUGCCGAGCUCCUUUAAAAUACCGAGCAACAUCGCCUUUCGUCAGUUGGCAGGCCAGCAGCAGUACCGGCAACACGUUCAGCAAUCACUUCUGCUUUGCUCUACAGUUACAGAGAAGCGUGCUCACUGGAGGUGGCGAUGAUGGUGAGGAUCUCGCCCCCAUGGACUUCGGAUCACCAGACUUCGAAUGACAGUCCCUCGAGCAGGAGCAACUUGGUGCGGGGUCCACCGCACAGCCGCUGACCCAGGCUUGAGCGGUCCAGCUCGAACGUCAGGUCUCGAAGCAGCAUCACAGCGGCCGCAUUUAGCAUCAUGUCGACGUGACCAUUGGCACCACGGCCCACAUUUCAGCGAAAGGCGUUGUUACGCACACAUAAGAACAACAAGACCAGAAUCAGCUCUGGCCAGAGGACGAUGACGACGUGUAAUGCCGAUGUGUGUACGACAACUAACGAGUCACGUGCCACGCGUUGAACUAAUGAUAGGUAUUGGUAGGGCAUAUUGGGCAUAGCCUAAGGGCAGUUGGAGGGAGGGUGGGUAAUCGGAACCUAGCACUGAUAAGACGAAGGCUUACUUCAGUAUAGAGUUGGUGAAAGCAGAGGAAAGAUAAGCAGAGGAUGUUGCUGAAAGUGAUGAAAAGCCUAAAGCACGGAAAACUACGUGUGGCGCACGUCUGCAAAAUUUAGCUGAAAUGUUCACAGCAGCGUAUGUUACUCGCCUAUUGUGUUUUUUACCAAGCUACCAAGGUGGUUCAGGAUCCUUUUAACCCUGUAAUACAUAACGCACCAUCUGUAUACUGCUGCGUUUGAGACUUCGAAAUUCAUAUUUGCGCGCGUGAAAAACAAGUAGCGAUAACAAUAGGCUGGAGCUAAAUGCGGUUGUGAGCAGCUUAGUAAUAGGAUUGCUAACGGCAGUGCUAAUUAUCUUUACUGACAAAUUUUAUUGCUUUAAGCACAAGGGCCAUCCAGCGGGCUGAGCAUGCCGCUAGGACCCAAGAACUUCUGGCCGUCACCUAGGCGGGGCCUUUGGCCCUCCCCACCAACUGGCAGGGCACACAAUAAA